rnacentral:rRNA from 1 species
CCUACGGGCGGCAGCAGUGAGGAAUAUUGGUCAAUGGGCGGAAUCCUGAACCAGCCAUGCCGCGUGCAGGACGACGGCUCUACGAGUUGUAAACUGCUUUUGUACCGGGGUAAAAUGCUCUACGUGUAGGGUUUUGAAAGUACGGUAUGAAUAAGGAUCGGCUAACUCCGUGCCAGCAGCCGCGGUAAUACGGAGGAUCCGAGCUUUAUCCGGAUUCAUUGGGUUUAAAGGGUGCGUAGGUGGUUUUAUAAGUUAGCGGUGAAAUAUCGUUGCUCAACCUGGGGGCUGCCGCUGAUACUGUAGGACUAGAGAACAGAUGCAGCAGGCGGAAUGUGUGGUGUAGCGGUGAAAUGCAUAGAUAUUACACAGAACACCGAUUGCGAAGGCAGCUUGCUAGGCCGGAACUGACACUGAUGCACGAAAGCGUGGGGAUCGAACAGGAUUAGAUACCCCUGUAGUC